GAUGAACGCUGGCGGCGUGCCUAAUACAUGCAAGUCGAGCGAACAGACGAGGAGCUUGCUCCUCUGACGUUAGCGGCGGACGGGUGAGUAACACGUGGAUAACCUACCUAUAAGACUGGGAUAACUUCGGGAAACCGGAGCUAAUACCGGAUAAUAUAUUGAACCGCAUGGUUCAAUAGUGAAAGACGGUUUUGCUGUCACUUAUAGAUGGAUCCGCGCCGCAUUAGCUAGUUGGUAAGGUAACGGCUUACCAAGGCAACGAUGCGUAGCCGACCUGAGAGGGUGCUCGGCCACACUGGAACUGAGACGCGGUCCAGACUACUACGGGAAGCAGCAGUGGAGAAUCUUCCGCAAUGGGCGAAAGCCUGACGGAGCGACGCCGCGUGAGAGAUGAAGGUCUUCGGAUCGUAAAGCUCUGUUAUUAGGGAAGAACAAAUGUGUAAGUAACUAUACACGUCUUGACGGUACCUAAUCAGAAAGCCACGGCUAACUACGUG
rnacentral:rRNA from 1 species